rnacentral:rRNA from 11 species
GGUAAACGGCGGCCGUAACAAUAACGGUCCUAAGGUAGCGAAAUUCCUUGUCGGGUAAGUUCCGACCUGCACGAAUGGUGUAACGACUUGGGCACUGUCUCGGCCAUGAGCUCGGUGAAAUUGUGGUAUCGGUGAUGACGCCGAUUACCCGCAGCGGGACGAAAAGACCCCGUGAACCUUUACUACAGCUUGGCACUGAACAUUGAACCUACAUGUGUAGGAUAGGUGGGAGGCUUUGAAGCGUGGACGCCAGUUCGCGUGGAGCCAACCUUGAAAUACCACCCUGGCAACUUUGAGGUUCUAACUCAGGUCCGUUAUCCGGAUCGAGGACAGUGUAUGGUGGGUAGUUUGACUGGGGCGGUCUCCUCCCAAAGAGUAACGGAGGAGUGCGAAGGUAACCUCAGCGCGGUCGGAAAUCGCGCAGUGAGUGCAUAGGCAUAAGGUUGCUUGACUGCAAGACAAACAAGUCGAGCAGGUACGAAAGUAGGUCAUAGUGAUCCGGUGGUUCUGUAUGG